rnacentral:rRNA from 1 species
AGCGAACGCUGGCGGCAGGCUUAACACAUGCAAGUCGAGCGGGCAUCGUCGGAUGUCAGCGGCAGACGGUAGAGGAACACGUGGGAACGUACCCUUCGGUUCGGAACAACUCUGGGAAACUGGAGCUAAUACCGGAUACGCCCUUAGGGGGAAAGUUUUACUGCCGAAGGAUCGGCCCGGGUCUGAUUAACUAGUUGGCGGGGUGACGGCCUACCAAGGCGCCGUACCGAAGCUGGUCGGAGAGGAUGGUCCGCCCCACUGGGGGUGAGACCAGGCCCAGACUUCUCGGGGAGGCCGCAGUGCGGACUCAUGCACGCUGCGCGCGAGCAUGAUCCCGCCGUGCCGCGUGAGUGAGGCAGGCGUUAGGGUUGUCAACCUAUUUUGUACGGAACGAUACUGACGGUACCGGAAAAAUAAGCACCGGCUAACUUCGUG